rnacentral:rRNA from 1 species
UACGUAGGGUGCGAGCGUUAAUCGGAAUUACUGGGCGUAAAGCGUGCGCAGGCGGUUUGUUAAGACAGAUGUGAAAUCCCCGGGCUUAACCUGGGAACUGCAUUCGAGACUGCAUUGCUAGAGUAUGGGAGAGGGAAGUGGAAUUUCAGGUGUAGCGGUGAAAUGCGUAGAUAUCUGAAGGAACAUCAGUGGCGAAAGCGACUCCUGGACCAAUACUGACGCUCAUGUGCGAAAGCGUGGGGAGCAAACAGG